UUGNNUCUAAACCAUUNUNGCNCUGCCUAACACAUGCAAGUCGAACGGGAAGCCACCUUCGGGUGGCCGAGAGUGGCGCACGGGUGAGUAACGCGUGGGAAUCUGCCCUGGAGNGGGGGACAACCGCUGGAAACGGCGGCUAAUACCGCAUACGCCCUCCUUUGGAGACAUUGGGGGGGAAAGCUUUAUGCGCUCCAGGAUGAGCCCGCGUCGGAUUAGCUUGUUGGUGAGGUAACGGCUCACCAAGGCUUCGAUCCGUAGCUGGUCUGAGAGGAUGAUCAGCCACACUGGGACUGAGACACGGCCCAGACUCCUACGGGAGGCAGCAGUGGGGAAUAUUGGACAAUGGGGGCAACCCUGAUCCAGCAAUGCCGCGUGUGUGAAGAAGGCCUUCGGGUUGUAAAGCACUUUCACUCGCGAAGAUGAUGACGGUAGCGAGAGGAGAAGCCCCGGCUAACUCCGUGCCANCAGCCGCGGGAAUACCGAGGGGGCUAGCGGUGUU
rnacentral:rRNA from 1 species